AUAGACCGGCCAACGUUGGGAGGGAGGGAGGCCUGGACUCUGCAACCGCGUUACUGGAGUCCCUGCAUGAUGAUGCCAUUGGGACUAGUGAGGAAGAACAGUCCCGAACAACGGGUGGUGGCAGUGUUCCGUCCUCAACAUCAUCAGAACACACCUCAACUCGACCACAGACACCAGUCGAGGAACCGACACCAACGCCGAGUGCCAUCACGACACCGCAGCGUGUGGUUCUAGGCAAGAGGAAACGAGGAGGAGACGAGCACCUAGCACAGCAGGCACGGCACCAUGAACAGAGC